GGGGAACUAGCUCAAAUGGUAGAGCGAGCGCUUCGCAUGCGUUAGGCACUGGGUUCGAUUCCCAGGUUCUCCA
rfam:Microsporidia sp. TGP3 contig-14, whole genome shotgun sequence.